AAUGUCAUAUUUGUCUUGCAGAACCUGCGCGCCGCAGGACUAUGAAAAUAUGACAAACCAACAGUGCCACAAAUACGCCACUUUCGGUCAUGUAUCACCAAAAAUACGCCGUAACAAAUGUUGUUUUGUCAGUUAUUACGGCGCUUU